rnacentral:tRNA from 1 species
GCGGUGGCUUGUAAUUCCACUUAUGGAGUCGUCUCCUCUUUCCA